GCCGACGUAGCAGCAGAAAUCCACCCACUGCCACUCCACACGUGGCCUCACUCCUCGUUGUCGUCGUGCCCUAGGCCCCAAAUCAGACACCACCGCCCUAAGCCACCGCCUCCCUGCUCCCUCGUUUUCCGGCCACCCUCCUUCUUCCCUCUGCAAAUAAGACAGCCACCGACCGUCUCCGCCUCUCUCUUUCGAUUUCGACCGCCUCUAUCCACAAAAUCAAACACCACCAACUCACGCAGCCUCCCUCGUUUUCCGGCCACCCUCCUUCUUC
rnacentral:lncRNA from 1 species